AAACGCUUUCCUUGAUAAAAUUUAAGCGUUUUAUAAGAGGAUGCCGGGGAAGGUUUUCCGGUUUAUCCCGGAGGGCUUGUAGCUCAGUUGGUUAGAGCGCGCGCUUGAUAAGCGUGAGGUCGGAGGUUCAAGUCCUCCCAGGCCCACCAGUUUAUCCAUUACUUUCAUAAGUGCUUUUAAAAAAUAAGUACUUCUAAAAAGAUUGCUUCUAAAAAGCUUAUCAAAAUUGACAGGCUUAUUGCUUUUGUGUGAGUAAUCCAAAGUUAAAGCAAAUUAAUGGCAAAAAAACAGUUCAAAUGCUAAAUACUAAGGAGUCAAAAUUCCUUGCAAAGUGAUUUUUACAGCGUCCAUUUGGUUGAUAUAAAUUCCAAAUGCUCAUAGACGUCAAUGCCUAUAUGAAACUAUCGGUUCAAUCAUAUCGCUUUGAGUUAUAUAGAUUUUGUAAUCCCUCUUUUGAUCGUUUUAAACGCUUUAUUCUGAUUUAGGGGCCGUAGCUCAGCUGGGAGAGCACCUGCUUUGCAAGCAGGGGGUCGUCGGU
rnacentral:misc_RNA from 1 species